UGUCUGUCGUUUUCUUUUCCAAAGAAAGUUAAAAAAACAAAACCCUCCACCUGACUCCCUCCACUCGAACACACCUGCUCCGUGUGCGUGUAAUCAAACCUCUCCGGUGUCGCAGCGACCUCUACCGACAGUUGACGGCGCCAUGGGCGACUCUCCGUUCGUUGAUAAAACAACAUCAGCAGGUCAACGGCGGGUUUUUUUAAUCGGUUAAGUUGCUGUUUUUCUACAAGGAAAAAAAAAAGGUCAACAGCAAUCUGUUUUUUUAAUGGGAGGUCGUCGGACAACACGGGCAGGCCAGCGGUCGAAGGCAGCGGAUUGAUAUCUGAAGUGUGAUUCGGCUACAGGUGUACUACUCUGAUUAGGGAUUUUACUACAUAGUCGGUCCAGGGGUUCUAUUUUUAUUUUUAUUUUAUUUUUUUGGGGGGCGUUUUGAGUUGUAAUAACUGCAGGUAAUAACUGAUCACUCAUAAUGACUCCAACUGUUGCAGUCCUCCCACACCGUUCAACAGGACUAUUAACUCUUAAAUGGACGUCAGCCGUACUUCCUUCUGCACCGAGCUCCUGGAAGAGAGGCCUUUUUCACGUGAACGGCAUCUCAUCCAGGCUACAAUGCUCGUGAAAUCAACCGUAACCAUGAAGACCAAAUGACCGCUUCAGCCGUGGUGGAUUCCAUAACAGAGGCGAUUCCAUAACUACACCACAAGAUUUCUGGCAUGAAUUCAAGGUGAGCAUUGACUUUGUUUUCUUUGGGGCCAAAAACUAUUAUUUCAGUUCAUUCUGUUUUGAGCUGUACUCACCCUGUGACACUGUUGUGUAGUGUUGUGUGUCAAAACCCAGUCUUCUGUCAUUGAGACAUCUGGUCUGGUUCAAC
rnacentral:lncRNA from 1 species